rnacentral:rRNA from 1 species
CGUUCUCGCCGGAUCGUAGGAACCGACCCGGGGACCGCCGGGGCAACCCGGCGCCCCCGAGACGGGGCGAACCACGGUGAAAUGACGGAUCGUCGGCCCCGCGCCGGCGACUCGCCGAAUGAGUUUCUGACCUAUCAACUCGAGACGGCGGGGUAGAGGCCCGCCGCGGUAACGACGGGUAACGGGGAAUCAGGGUUCGAUUCCGGAGAGGGAGCCCGAGAAACGGCUACCACUUCCAAGGAAGGCAGCAGGCGCGCAACUUACCCUAAUCUCGAUUCGAGGAGGUAGUGACAAGAAAUACCGAUGCGGGACCCUACGGGUGCCGCGUUCGGAAUGAGUACGAUUCGAACCACCUAACGAGGAACGAUCGGAGGGCAAGUCUGGUGCCAGCAGCCGCGGUAAUUCCAGCUCCAAUAGCGUACGUUAAAGUUGCUGC